UCAGUUCCUACAAACUCUCCAUUCUAUCAGUUAGAACAGUUAGCAUAUUAAUCAUACCUGUUUUUAAUUCCCACUCAGAUAAUUCCAAGAUUCCUCAAUGUCUGGUUCUAAUGUUUUCUCUGUCUCUUCUAUUUUUUUUUUCUUUUGGUUUUCCUUGUAAUUUUUUUCUUGACAUGACAUACUGGAUAAAAGGAACUGCCUUAAAUGGGCUUAUAGUUAUGUGAUGGUGAAAUGUUGGGGGAGGGGAUAUUCCAUAUCUCUGUAAUUAUGUCUCAGUGUUUUAGUGAGCCUUUGUGAACCUUAUAACUGUAUUUGAUUGUGUUCUCUCACAUUAAGUGGAAGAGGAUAGCUAGGGUGGGCUAUAUGUGAGAAAUUCUCUUCUGCCAGAUAGAAGACUAGAGCUGACUAGACAUGGUUAUUUCCUUCCCCCCAGGUGAGUUAAACUUCCAUGAUAUCCCAGCCAGUUGGGCUCUGCUUAAUUAAUUUCUCCUGAGGGUGAGGCUUCUUAAGAAGAGUGGAAUGCCCCAGCAUAUUUCAAAAUGGUUUCUCUUCCCAUCUUCUUUGGGAAGUAAGAGAGGAUUUUUCUCUGAUAUUCACUGUAAGGACUUGGUUGAGCUCUUGGAAAUAAUUCUCACGAAACUGGGUCCCCCCCUGGAAUUCUUAAAUCUCAGAUUUAUCCAUGCUGAGCCUCAGCAGUUCAUCACAGUUCUUGUUUUCCUACUCUGCAAUGGUUCCCCUGCACUGGUUUCAGCUCCUGAGUCUCUGUUCAGUUACCAAAAUUUCAGAAAUAAAUACUGACUUAUGAGACUCGAAAAUUCAAGAAAUGAAAUAGAUUCCAGCCACAGCUGAGUUAGAGAUUCAAACAAUGUCAUCAGUUAUGUCUGAUGAACCAAUGUGGUGAUCUGUGAAGAUGAGGUAUGAAAUGGAGAGGAGGAUCCAAGACCAGUGGACAAUUCUGAUAAGAAAUUCUGCCUUGGAGGAAUUGCAUUGGCAUAUGCACUUAGGUACCCCAUCAAUGAUUGACUCCUGGAAGAUUUCGCAUCUCUAAUAAAACCAGAGUCCCAGUUUUUAUCAUAAAAUUCUGCUUCAUUUACAGAAAGGUUCUUCAUUUAUAGGAAAAAAAAAUCUCAUGAAAAUGAACUAAUAAAUAGAAUGAUGCCACAAAAUAUGGUCAGUUUUAUUAAGCCAAGAACAACUCACUCAUCAAGAACAAUUCACUCAGAAACCUUUAAAAACCUGGGCAAAGAGCAUACACACACACACACACACACAUACACACACACACACACACCCUGUUUAAAAAAAAAAAAAAAAAAGGGAAUCUAGUGGUUUAAUGGAGAAAGAGUUCCCAAUAGGAUGUUUGAGCUGAAAGGGAAAUUAUGGGAGCACUUUCAAGAAAAUUGUAGGCCAGAUUUUGCUGAGUGCUUUGAAGAUGAAAAAUGGCUGCAGAAAUGAGCCUAACUGGCAGACAUUUUUCAUCACAUGAUCCAGUUUAACAAUUCCUGGAGCAAAUUGUUUUACUUCGAAUGACAAGAUUUUUGUAUUUAAAAUUGGAAAAAUCAUGUAUUUAGAAAAAUCAUUUGUAUUUACAAAAUCAUGUUACAAAAAGAAAUCUUGAAAUAUUUUCACUGCUGCUUGGGUUUGGAGUGAGGAAGAAAUAGGAGCAAGGUCCAAAGCUUAUUGGAAAACAUCUGGAGAAUUACAGAACAACAAACAGGAUUUUUCUUUUCUCUCAACCCAAAAACUUGACAGAGUGAUAAACCCUUUUUCUGUCAGUUCUGUUCAGAAUAAGAAUUGGAAAAAAAGUAUUUUGUGAGCUGCAGUCUGAUCAGACACUCAAGAUUAGAGUUAUUAAUCUGCUUCUAGACAAGUUCUAUAUAUCUGUGAAAGAAGAAGAUCAUGUCGGAAGAAAGCACUGAGCAUUUUGAUGCAGCUUUUUUUCCUUCCAGUUUUAUUAGGUUAUAAUUGACAUGCAGCACUGUAUACAUUUAAGGUAUAUAGCAUAAUGAUUUGAAUUACAUCAUGGAAUGAUGACCACAAUAAGUUUAGUAAACAUCCAGCAUCUCAUGUAGAUACAAAAUCAAAGAAAAAAAGGAAAAAAGAAUUUUUUUCUUGUGAUGAGAACUCAUAGGAUUUACUCUCUUAACAGUAUUCAUAUACAACAUACAACAGUGUUAAUUAUAUUUAUAUGUUGAACAUACAUGCCUACUACUUAUUUAUCUUAUACCUGGAAGUUUAUAGCUUUUGACUGCCUUCAUCCAUUUAAGAAGUGUUUAAGAGUUAUUGAGUGUAAAGACAGAAAUUAUCUCAUUUCAUUUAAAAAAUUAAAUUAUUGUAAGUUUGAACCAGCAUUGAAUAAACUAUGCAGCAAAUAACAAGCACACAUUUCAUACUUAGUAUGUAAGUUCUAUUCUUUAUAUUUGAUUUCAAAAUAAGUUUUCUGCUUACAUAUAGAAUUAUUAAAAAGAUCAUCUAAACAAUAAAUUCGAAUA